rnacentral:RNase_P_RNA from 1 species
GAGUGAGAUAUGGAGCUGACGGUGAGCUUGACUUGCUGAGGAACUUCACCCCACUCUCCAAGCGAGGUGUAGAUAACUACUACGGUGAGAACCGUAUUUUAGCAACUGAAACGACACUGCCUUCUUACGCAUAUUAAUGACUUGGAUAUAAGCCAGAGAAAUUGUAGGAAGGAAUGGUUGGAACGAGCUAAAACCUUGGUGCAAGGCCAAAUGAAAGCGUUAAAGUACUUGGAGCCAGCUUUAGGUAGGCCGCUUAGUUUGAUGCUCCAACCGUAUCUGGUGACGGAUCCGGUACAGAAGGGUGAGUAUGUAUCUCAAGC